AACGAACGCUGGCGGCAUGCCUAACACAUGCAAGUCGAACGAAACCUUCGGGUCUAGUGGCGCACGGGUGCGUAACGCGUGGGAACCUUCCCUUAGGGUCGGAAUAACUCCCCGAAAGGGGUGCUAAUACCGGAUAAUGUCUUCGGACCAAAGAUUUAUCGCCUUUGGAUGGGCCCGCGUUGGAUUAGCUAGUUGGUAGGGUAAAAGCAUACCAAGGCGACGAUCCAUAGCUUGUCUGAGAGGAUGAUCAGCCACACUGGGACUGAGACACGGCCCAGAAUCCUACGGGAGGCAGCAGUGGGGAAUAUUGGACCAUGGGCGAAAGCCUGAUCCAGCACUGCCGCGUGAGUGAUGAAGGCCUUAGGGUUGUAAAGCUCUUUUACCCGGGAUGAUAAUGACAGUACCGGGAGAAUAAGCUACGGCUAACUCCGUG
rnacentral:rRNA from 1 species